rnacentral:rRNA from 1 species
UGGGGAAUUUUGGACAAUGGGGGCAACCCUGAUCCAGCAAUGCCGCGUGCGGGAAGAAGGCCUUCGGGUUGUAAACCGCUUUUGUUGGGGACGAAACGGCGACGGCUAAUACCUGUUGCUAAUGACGGUACCCAAAGAAUAAGCACCGGCUAACUACGUGCCAGCAGCCGCGGUAAUACGUAGGGUGCAAGCGUUAAUCGGAAUUACUGGGCGUAAAGCGUGCGCAGGCUGUUGAGUAAGACAGAUGUGAAAUCCCUGGGCUUAACCUAGGAACUGCAUUUGUGACUGCUCAGCUAGAGUGCGGCAGAGGGGGAUGGAAUUCCGCGUGUAGCAGUGAAAUGCGUAGAUAUGCGGAGGAACACCGAUGGCGAAGGCAAUCCCCUGGGCCUGCACUGACGCU